CUUAGUACAUAUAGCAGGUUAGUGAAAUCUGAACCAUCAGUCUGGUCUGCUUAAAGCCUUCGCUCUUACCAGAUCAACAGCAGCUGAACCGAAUCAGAAAUGAAAUUCCGAGUCUAUGGAAUCUCCAUGCUCCUUCUCACCCUCUGGGUUGUCACAGAAACUGUCUCCAACCAUCAAGAAUCAGAGAGUGAGGGGCCUCCUCCUGAGGAUGAUGCUACACUGAUCUUCUUGGAGAAGAUGGCAGAGAAUGGGAAGAGAUUAGCAGAUCAGGCGAUCGGCACAGUACUGGAGUUACUGAACGACAGCAACAAGCAGAAGAUCAAACACCUCGCCAAGGACCUAUGGGAUAAAGCAGCAAAAACCCUCAAAGAUGUGCUUGAGGGAUGAACCAGUGCCAGGACCUGCCUGAGAAUUGCCAACCCCUCACCUUUGACCCUGCAAAGCCUGGCAAUGCAUAAUCACGUUUAGCAGGGAACCACAAAAUUACACCAGGCGCUAGAACACCCACCCAUGUGACUUUCAACCACAACAUCCCAAGUGAAUGCACUGACACCUCUGUUCAAAAUGUCGGUGUUAUAUAUUUUAUAUGUUUAAUUUGUCUCAGAGCUAUGCAGAGAUGACAUCACUUUCCCAGUGUGUAACAAGCUUACUGACAUGAGUUUGUAAAUAUCUCUGCAAUCACAGAAUGUCUCCACUCAUGCUUACAGCUCAGCUUCUAGUAGCUUCUGUGAUGUCUGUUUGCUUCCCUGUGAGUUCACACCCAGAUUAAUCAGUCAAACACAGUGAGCGGAGAUCAUUUACCAGACUCACAAAAUCAAACACAGAAGAAAUGGACACUACAGGUGGACAAAGGAAGUUUUUAUGGGGAGCUAUUAACCCUCAAAGCUCUCAAAGAGUUUAGUCCUCUCCCAUCGCACAGCAAGAGGCCAUAUGUUAUUCUGUUUGGCAUGUAACUUCUGGGCUCCCUUCUGUCCUAUAAUGUAAGCUCGACCGACACACAUAUGGAAUACUAACAUCCUGAUGUCUCACGUGCUGGAGAAGGUCCGUUACUUCUCAUCUGUACCAGUCGGAAAUUCAGCUCUUAAUACAUGUCAGGCACACAUUGGCUGAAUCUUUAAAUAAAAUCUAUUUGACUCAAA